rnacentral:rRNA from 1 species
UACGUAUGGUGCAAGCGUUGUCCGGAAUUAUUGGGCGUAAAGAGUUCGUAGGCGGUCUGUCGCGUCUGCUGUGAAAACUCAGGGCUUAACCCUGAGCUUGCAGUGGGUACGGGCAGACUAGAGUGCGGUAGGGGAGACUGGAAUUCCUGGUGUAGCGGUGAAAUGCGCAGAUAUCAGGAGGAACACCGGUGGCGAAGGCGGGUCUCUGGGCCGUAACUGACGCUGAGGAGCGAAAGCAUGGGGAGCGAACAGG